rnacentral:rRNA from 1 species
AGCGAACGUUAGCGGCGGGCUUAACACAUGCAAGUCGAACGAGAAUGAGGGCUUCGGCUCUCUAGUAAAGUGGCGGACGGGUGCGUAACACGUGGGCAAUCUACCUUCCAGCGGGGGACAACCGUUCGAAAGGAUGGCUAAUACCGCAUACGUCGGCGAGGGCUACGGUCCUUGUCGGGAAUGAUGGCCUCUUCAUGAAAGCUGUCACUGGAAGAUGAACCCGCGGCCCAUCAGCUAGUUGGCGAGGUAAUGGCUCACCAAGGCUAAGACGGGUAGCUGGUCUGAGAGGAUGAUCAGCCACACUGGGACUGCGACACGGCCCAGACUCCUACGGGAGGCAGCAGUGGGGAAUAUUGGGCAAUGGGGAAACCCUGAUGCAGCGACGCCGCGUGGAGGAUGAAGGAUCUAGUCUGUAAACUCCUUUUGUUGGGAAAGACUUAGGACGGUACCAACGAAUAAGGACCGGCUAAUACGUGCCAGCAGCCGCAGUAAG